ACUCAAGGUGGUUUAAAAUAGAUACUGUAAUUAGACUGUUUAAUGCAAUAGUUCGACCUCGCCUUGAGUAUGGAGCUAUAAUAUGGUCACCUCAAGAAAAGGUUAAUUGUAACAACAUUGAAAAAAUUCAGAAGCAAUUUUUAAGGUGACUGAAACUCUCUGAUCAAAAUCAACAUCACUUCUCUGGUAUAGUAAUUUGCGUAUUCGGCGUCCAUGAGAGGAAUUAAGUAACCGAUAGCCUUAAGGAAGGCGGCUAAACCUUUACCACGGUGAGUUCUGAUACCUAAAAAACACAUUUACCCAUAUAUUAAUAUGAAUACUGGUUAUUUAAUUUAGUUCUCGUUUAUGUACCUUUCCACAAAGGUUUCAAUACAGAAUCGAAACUUUCAAUACCGUAAGGGGUAGCUGCUUCGGCCAAAGCGGCAAUUCCCAAGGCCGUAAUAGUUCUUACUUUUUGCUGUUCAUCCACAAGUCCGUGUUCGAUAAUCUCUACUAAUGAUUUUAAAUGCGGCAAGAUGGCGCAACCCAUAAGAAUUGCAAUUUGCUGGACGAUUUUAAUACCGGUGUGUCUCGCCUGCCAAGAUUUCUUUGAGCGACAUACCGCUUUCAAGAAAGGAAGUAGAGAUGGAAUACCUAGAAGCAAAUUGUGCGUUUUAGUUAUAAAACAAGAAACAGAUUUAUAAAGUAUUAAAUAAAUAGACGGCUUGUCCUA